rnacentral:lncRNA from 1 species
UCAUUCCUGCUUUUUCUGACAGGCUUCUCUAGUCCUCCAGUUACUUCUCCAGCUUGUUCUCUGAGUCAUUCAGUAGCAGAUUCAGUGUUCUAUGAGUUUAUCUUUAUUGUUCUUUUUCAGCAUCAGACUAAGAUUAUAAAAGGAAGCCUGAAGUUUUUGUCUCACUUCGUAGCUCCUGCUGUCUCAAUAACCACUGAUCAGCCAAGCCUAUUUUCUUCUGCUGCUAAGCUUGCUCAAGAUGCAAACACAUAAGAGUCAAGGAGACGUAGUUUAGAAAUCGCUUACUUUCCUGGGCAGUAAGGGCCAGUACAGUCCCUUGGUUGCUACAUUUUGUUACACUGUAUAUUCAGACCUUCUGUGUAAGUGACCACCCUGGCUCUUCUUGGAAUUUUUGUUGCCAUUUGUUUGUCUUGACUGCCCCCACACACAUACACACAUAAUAAAUAUCCUGAGGUGGGUCUGUCCAAAGGCUCAGUGGGUAAGAACACUUGCUGCUCUUCCGGAAAGACCUGAAUUCAAUUCCCAGAACCCACCUGACAGCUGACAACAAUGUAACUCCAGAGGAUCUGGUGCACUAUUCUGGCCUCAUAGAGCACCAGGUACACAUACAUGCAUGCAGGCAAAGCACUCAUAUGUGAUUUUAAAAAUCUUUAAACAAAUGCUUAGUCUUAUAAAUCUCAGGCUGCUGCUUCCCUCCCUGCAGGCUGGUGCCGUGCAGUGAGCUUGUAUGGUUUCCCACAGAUGUCUUCCUGAUGAUGAUUUUGCUCGCUGCAUGCAAACCUGGUGUUAUGCUAAGUUUCUGCCAGCUCUGCAUGUUGCUAUGGCUUUGCCUGGUUCCAUAUCUCGAAGGGUGGAGCCUGGAAUCUUGUUUUAACUUUAAUAUUAUGGCUUGCUUGCUCAGUGGCCUUCUCCUGUGCUGCAUGCCUGUUUCCUCGUGUGGUUCAUUUUUCCAUCCAUCAGUAAACUUUUUCUUAUCAACUUAUAAGAGGAAAGCACAGGAUUUCUACCCAUGCCCAUGUGUAUCUUAUGGCUUUGUGUGUUCAAAGAGUUUGCCAUACAGCGAUGUUAACAUGAUUAAUGCCUCAGCCUAUGUCCUCGUCUCUGGAUUUGGAAAUAAAAUACAUGGUUAAU